GCGAGUCUGAAUAGGGCGCAUAAGUAACAGGUCGUAGACCCGAAACCAGGUGAUCUACCCAUGUCCAGGAUGAAGGUAAGGUAAUACUUACUGGAGGUCCGAACCCACGCACGUUGAAAAGUGCGGGGAUGAGGUGUGGGUAGCGGAGAAAUUCCAAUCGAACUUGGAGAUAGCUGGUUCUCUCCGAAAUAGCUUUAGGGCUAGCCUCGAGGUAAAGAGUCAUGGAGGUAGAGCACUGUUUGGACUAGGGGCCCUUCUCGGGUUACCGAAUUCAGAUAAACUCCGAAUGCCAUGUACUUAUACUCGGGAGUCAGACUGCGAGUGAUAAGAUCCGUAGUCGAAAGGGAAACAGCCCAGACCACCAGUUAAGGUCCCCAAAUAUAUGUUAAGUGGAAAAGGAUGUGGGGUUGCUUAGACAACCAGGAUGUUGGCUUAGAAGCAGCCACCAUUGAAAGAGUGCGUAAUAGCUCACUGGUCGAGUGACCCCGCGCCGAAAAUGUACCGGGGCUAAACAUAUUACCGAAACUGUGGAUGAACCUCUUUAGAGGUUCGUGGUAGGAGAGCGUUCUAAGGGCGGUGAAGUCAGACCGGAAGGACUGGUGGAGCGCUUAGAAGUGAGAAUGCCGGUAUGAGUAGCGAAAGAAGGGUGAGAAUCCCUUCCACCGAAUAUCUAAGGUUUCCUGAGGAAGGCUCGUCCGCUCAGGGUUAGUCGGGACCUAAGCCGAGGCCGAUAGGCGUAGGCGAUGGACAACA
rnacentral:rRNA from 1 species